UACUACAGGCAGUGGCAAUCAUG
rnacentral:miRNA from 8 species